CCUGCGUUAUCUGCUGACUCACGCUGUUUAUUCGCGUCAACAUUUUGCUUUGAUAUUUUACCUCAGCAUUAAUAAUUAACGUCAGCGUUAUAUAUUAUUUUUCCUCAGGUUUUGCUGUGUGAUGUCGAUAAUCGCCUCCACACUGAGAUGUUACUGACGGAUUUUUUACAGAGACUGUUUGAUGAGAUGAACUAAAACUCCAAGCUUGUUGUGUCUGAGAUAACACAUUUUCCCAAGUAUUUUCUUGCCCCUGAUGUGUUCACUGCACUUAGAUUUACCUCCAAAAACACUUCAAGAUAUGGCCUUUAAAGGGAGCACUAAGAAAACAUUAUCUGCUCAUCGUAAGACAUAUCAUGAAGAAAUGAAGAAGCAAAAUUACCAGUGCUCAGGUUGUGGGAAGAGAUUUAGUUACCCAAGUCGUCUGAAAAGUCAUCAGCGCAUUCACACAGGAGAGAAGCCGUAUCACUGCACACAGUGUGGGAAGAGUUUUUUUACUUCUAGUUCUCUCCAAACACACCAGCGCAUUCACACAGGAGAUAAGCCGCAUCACUGCACACAGUGUGGGAAGAGUUUUACACAAGCAGGUCACCUGCAAAAACACCAGCGCAUUCACACAGGAGAGAAGCCGUAUCACUGCGCACAGUGUGGGAUGAGUUUUACUGCAGCUACUUAUCUCCAAAUACACCAGCGCAUUCACACAGGAGAGAAGCCGUAUCACUGCUUACGGUGUGGGAAGAGUUUUACACAGGCAUGUCACCUGCAAAGACACCAGCGCAUUCACACUGGAGAGAAGCCGUAUCACUGCGCACAGUGUGGGAAGAGUUUUACUGUAGCUUGUUCUCUCCAAACACACCAGCGCAUUCACACAGGAGAGAAGCCGUAUCAGUGCUCACAGUGUGGGAAGAGUUUUACUGCAGCUAGUUCUUUCAAAACACACCAGCGCAUUCACACUGGAGAGAAGCCGUAUCAGUGCUCACAGUGUGGGAGGAGUUUUACUGCAGCUAGUUCUUUUCAAGCACACCAGCGCAUUCACACUGGAGAGAAGCUGUAUCAGUGCUCACAGUGUGGGAAGAGUUUUACUUCAGCUAGUUCUCUCCAAACACAUCAGCGAAUUCACACAGGAGAGAAGCCGUAUAAGUGCUCACAGUGUGGGAAGAGUUUUACUUCAGCUAGUUCUCUCCAAACACACCAGCGCAUUCACACAGGAGAGAAGCCAUAUCACUGCUCACAGUGUGGGAAGAGUUUUACUGUAGCUAGUUCUCUCCAAACACACCAGCGCAUUCACACAGGAGAGAAGCCGUAUCAGUGCUCACAGUGUGGAAAGAGCUUUACUGCAGCUAGUUCUUUUCAAACACACCAGCGCAUUCACACAGGAGAGAAGCCGUAUUACUGCUCACAGUGUGGGAAGAGUUUUACUGCAGCUAGUUCUUUUCAAAAACACCAGCGCAUUCACACGGGAGAGAACCCAUAACACAAUCUUAAUAUGGGACGUGUUGUAUGCACUGCAGUCAGUCCUAAAUAUACUGCCUGUCAAUAUUUCAUGAGAAGGGUCAAUUUAGCCAAAUAAAUCAAGCUAAGAAAACAACUGGAGAGAUUUGAAAUUACUGGAAAAGGAUUAAGAAACCAUAAAGAAAUAUAAAUACUUGGAAGAAUAGUGCUGAACCAUCAACUUUUUGGAAGAAAUAUCGGAAAAAAAACAUGAAUUGAGACCUCAAACACUUUAUGGCAAAAAAUCAACAACAACAAAAAAAGGUAUGUUUAAUAGUGGAAGGAAAGAAAGCAUUUACAUACACACACAAUGUGAUGACAACUCACAGGAUUGGGACUAAACAGUUGUGUGUCCAUAGGAAAACCACCUAAAAGUAAGAAACCAUCAGAAAGACUUGAAUUUGCUGAAGAUAAUAAAUUUUUGACAUUGGAGCAAUGGAAAUAGUCAUGUGGCCUGAUAAUUCCAGAUUGAUAAUUCCAGAGUGAUGGGUGCGUAAGGAACAUGACUGAUAUCAACACAUUGAAGGCCACAGAGGGCAGAACAGUGGGGAUCUACCAUAUGUUGCCAUGUGGACUUCCAGCAGUGACUGUUCUGAUGUUGGAGUUAUGCGCAAAAUUCUUUUACUGAAAGUAAAAGACUGAGUGGUUUGACUGGUUUCUUUCGCCAAAUUUAAGGUCUCUGAUGAUGUGCAGUUGUAAUUACUGUCAAAUUAUUUGCAUACGUAAUUAAUAUUACAUAGGCUGUUUUAUUGUUGUAAUUCCUAUACAGUUAUCUGCAUGUUUGUUGUUUCUAUUUUGUUUGGCAAUAUUCUAUAUAUUGCAGAAUAAUCUUUGCAUUGUUGCAGCACCUUAACGUAAACUUGUUCAGUGCAUUUCUUUUUCCAUGAGUUGUGCAAACUAUAAUAUAUUCAAAACUUCAAAACACUAAAAUGCAGUGCUUCAGCUUGGUGACAUCAAUUUUUGUGUCAUUUUAACUUUGCCCUUUUAAUGUGUGAACACCUGCUGUUGAUGAAGGAUCUUGAUUAAAGGUUUUGAAACAAAACUGUCAUUGUUUUACGUGGUGGGAAAAGGUUAAGUUGCUAUGUUAUGAUCGAUCAGGAAAAUAAUACUUUCAAAUUGGACAACAAAAUGAAUAUUUGCUGAAAAUGUAAUUCGUAUUUAUUUUCUUCAUAUAAGAAUUUAUUUUAAAUAUGAACAUAUAAAAGUUUAUAGCUUAUUUUUUAAUAAUUAUAAUUCAUGAAUUCAAUUUGAUAUUUCGUUUAAAAUUUUGAAAACAUUGGACUAACAAAUGAGUUCAAAUAACAAGUGAUCAAAUUAUGUUGAAAUAAAACUUAGUAGUUUAACUUACUUUAGUCCCAGCCCUACCCUAUAUAUGUAUAUUUGCACAUCUACAAUUUUUGGUGUUUCACCAUCCAAGGGGCCAUGUCCUUUUUAACACCUCAACAUGUAAAAUAAUUAAAUGAAAAAUGAAAUUCUUAUCUCUUAGUCGUGUUUUGAUUUCAAAUGCAAACAUCUUCUGUGUAUAACAAAACAAACAACAAAAAAACAUCAGCCUU